AGGAUGUUGGCUUAGAAGCAGCCAUCAUUUAAAGAAAGCGUAAUAGCUCACUGGUCGAGUCGGCCUGCGCGGAAGAUGUAACGGGGCUAAACCAUGCACCGAAGCUGCGGCAGCGACGCUGAUGCGUUGUUGGGUAGGGGAGCGUUCUGUAAGCCUGUGAAGGUGGCCUGUGAGGGUUGCUGGAGGUAUCAGAAGUGCGAAUGCUGACAUAAGUAACGAUAAAGCGGGUGAAAAGCCCGCUCGCCGGAAGACCAAGGGUUCCUGUCCAACGUUAAUCGGGGCAGGGUGAGUCGACCCCUAAGGCGAGGCCGAAAGGCGUAGUCGAUGGGAAACGGGUUAAUAUUCCCGUACUUGGUGUUACUGCGAAGGGGGGACGGAGAAGGCUAUGUUGGCCGGGCGACGGUUGUCCCGGUUUAAGCGUGUAGGUGUGUGUUCCAGGUAAAUCCGGUUCACUUUAACACUGAGGCGUGAUGACGAGGCACUACGGUGCUGAAGCAACAAAUGCCCUGCUUCCAGGAAAAGCCUCUAAGCAUCAGGUAACAUCAAAUCGUACCCCAAACCGACACAGGUGGUCAGGUAGAGAAUACCAAGGCGCUUGAGAGAACUCGGGUGAAGGAACUAGGCAAAAUGGUGCCGUAACUUCGGGAGAAGGCACGCUGACAC
rnacentral:rRNA from 1 species